UCCCUGGUGGUCUAGUGGUUAAGAACCUGGUGUUGUCACUGCUGUGGUAUGGGUUCUAUCCCUGUCCUGGGAA
rnacentral:tRNA from 1 species